rnacentral:rRNA from 1 species
CACGUAGGGCGCGAGCGUUGUCCGGAAUUAUUGGGCGUAAAGAGCUCGUAGGCGGCCUGUUGCGUCCGCUGUGAAAGCCCGGGGCUUAACCCCGGGUCGGCAGUGGAUACGGGCAGGCUAGAGGUAGGUAGGGGUGACUGGAAUUCCUGGUGUAGCGGUGGAAUGCGCAGAUAUCAGGAGGAACACCGAUGGCGAAGGCAGGUCACUGGGCCGCAACUGACGCUGAGGAGCGAAAGCGUGGGGAGCGAACAGG